rnacentral:misc_RNA from 1 species
AAUUGCUCUGACAUCUGUGAGGCAAGAAGAAAAGAUAGAGAAAGGGAAGGUAAAAGAUAGCCAAAAUGUGAUAGGCAUUCCAUGUCUGUCUACAAUUACUAUUAUGUUUUUUAGGGACAUAAUGCAUGCAGAUCAUGGGAGAGAGGAAACAUUCCUUCAAACGGUGCAACACAGCAUCUUAAUAGUAUGCAAUCUAACAAUCCUCAACAUUUGAAUAUUUCGCAAACUAUAAGGGGAAAAAAAACUGAUCACAAUACCCUAAAAACUCAAAAGUACUAGAGAUUUAGAUUUCAUAGGGUUUGGCGACUUCAAUGGUUAGCUAUGGCAUAGCAACAUCAUAUAAAGAGCACAUACACACAACAGAAAAAUUCCUGGCAAAGUGCAGAGAACUGACACAAGAUAGGCGAUGCAAUAACAUUUGUCUGUUCAAUGAUCACAAUGCCUGUUGAUGUUAACAGCGUAAAGAAAAACAGAGUGCUUUAAAAAGCAUAAAAGUAUCCAAGAAAAUCAUAUAUAUUA